UGGUAAAGUAACGUUUCCUUACUUCAAUUAUAAGUGAUUUUUGGUAUUGCGGUAUUUUAGGUUUAUAUUAAAAAUAAUAAUACAAUGAUGUUGGGUGACAAGAAAUCCGUGUGAAGCGUGCGACAAAACAGUACCAUUGUUUAAAAGAUAUUGAUCUUAUAUAAACUAGAUGUGUCAACGCAACACAAAUGGUCCCGUCUCCAGAAAAUGAAAAAUCUGCAAUUUCAAUAACACAUGUGGACACAAACAUGAUAGUUGUCUCACAUAUAAAAAAAA
rnacentral:lncRNA from 1 species